rnacentral:lncRNA from 1 species
CAACGUCCCAUUGGGAACCUACGGCUCGAUCGCCGAAUCUACGUCUCGAUCGUCAAAUCUACGUCGAAUCUAUGGCUCGAUCAUCGAAUCUAUGGCUCGAUCAUCGAAUCUACAUCUCGAUCGUCGAACCUACGGCUCGAUCACCGAAUCUACGUCUCAAUCAUCGAAUCUAUGUCUCAAUCGCCGAAUCUAUGGCUCGAUCGCCGACAACGCAUGACUCUUAUAAGAACCAUUCUAUCUACACUAACGGAAGGUCAGCGCUGGCGAUGAAACCUCUCUAAGUUGAAGCUGUGCUCCUUCCAC